UUUCGCAGUUUCAAUUAAUGUUUUUAAGUUGACUCAACUUUCAGUUCAUUAGUUUGUUCAUUCAACUUAAAAUUUUAAAUUUCACCGUCUCAACUAGUUCGUUAAGUUGACAAAACUAGCCAUUUGCCCCCUCAACUUAAAAAAAUGUGUUGAAUCAAUUUAAUAACGAUAUCACGUCACUUAUCGCGAGAUCACGUGAAGACUUGCAGAAAGAAGACGUUGGUCAGCCAUCUUGAUGAGCUUCUCCUCAGAGCUUGAAAAUGUUUUCAAACCAGCACUUUUGUUAAAGUACAGAAGUGCCUCACCGGAACCCAUGGCAACGCUGCCUGAAUAUACUGUCGGUUAAAAAAUUGAAGGUAUGAAAAGUAAUAAUGGCAUAUAUCUUGUAUAAAAAGCCCUGUGAUAAGGAUAAUCACAAAUGUGUAAAAUUAGCUUUUCUGUUGUUUUGUUCUAAUUUCCUGUGUUAUGUAAUUUAAAAGCCUUUUCUGGAUUGUAAAAUAUGGUUUUGGUAAUUGAAACGUAAACUAGCAAUGACAUUUGACUUUCGCUGUCAAGAUUAUUUAUUUGUAUUUAUAGUGUUGUUUUAACAUGUUUCUGUAUUUUCCAUGUUUAUGAUAUUCUGGAAUGACUAAAGAUCAGCACAUAAUUCUUGUGGAUGGACCUCAGCAAGUCCUUCUGCAGUUGUAUCCAUCAAAGUGCUAUGCAGACACAAUGGGAAUGACUGUCACAUUGUAGAGCUUGGACAAAUUCACACAGGUUCUCAAGGACAUGUCUGUUGGCAUUAUAGUUGUUGGGUGACCAAAAUGAGCACCAUCAAUCUGCAGUGAUGUGGUCCCGGUAAUAGAAGAAGAAAUCUUGUUUAUCUGCAGUUGUAACACCCAUCUCAUGAAUUGAGGUGACAUGGGCAUCUUGAUUGUGACUGAGGAGGAGGAAUGGGAGGUGCUUCCAAAAUAAACCAAUGACGUUGCUAUCAUUUUGGAAGAGCGUCUUGUCGCCAUCAAUAUCUGUGACGUCCCGAAAGCAUUUGUGCUCCUGAUGGGUCGUCUUUACAUCAUUAACAAAACACAGUACAGUUCUGAUGUUCUCAAAACUUUGCACGAACAUUGGUGGGAGUAACUGUUCUUCACGUGUUUACGGGCUACGAAACAUGCUACUCUGCAAAAAGUAGGCUUUUUGGUUGGUUUUUGCACUUUGUUCAACUCACAUUUUUUGCCAUGUUAUGGCAUCUCUUUUUAAAAUUUUGAAUGCACUUUGAUGCAUGUUCUGACUUCUGACUUAUAUUGAAAUGGAAAAUUACAGAAUUACUCAUCUGUUCUUUUGAUUAAAUGUGCAUUAGUGAAAGGAAUGUAGAUAUUUACUGCAAUUGUUCCAAAGAUAUGAAAUGUUAAUAUGAAAUGUCAGUGUUUGUUUUUAAAGGUGUUUUUAUACUAAACGCACUAAUACUAAAUAUGCUGUCAAUUUUGAAAUAAAAAUGUCAUGGACAUUUAAGAACAUGCAAUGUAUUUUAUUUUAUGCGAGUAGAAAAUAGAAACUUGAGUUGUGUGGGCAAAUUACAUAGUUUAGC